rnacentral:lncRNA from 1 species
AUAAUUUUGAUGGUCCAAUAUGUAAGAUGUUUUCAUUUUUGUAGAUAACUUUUACUUUAUUAAAAACUGUGUACCUAAUCAUAUUUUAAUAAUCUAUUCUAUAAUUGGUUGAAUACCAUUAAUUUAUAGUUUUAACGAUAUUUUCUAGACAAAAAAAUAAUUUUCUUAAUAUUUAUGUUUAUACCUAAACAUCUUAUAUUUACGAACAGAGGGAGUACUUUACAAUCAUUUUAUUUCAUAAAAUUAAAUAAAAUGUUGGGUAAUUGUCAAU